GAUUAAGAGCUUGCUCUUAUGAAGUUAGCGGCGGACGGGUGAGUAACACGUGGGUAACCUGCCCAUAAGACUGGGAUAACUCCGGGAAACCGGGGCUAAUACCGGAUAACAUUUUGAACCGCAUGGUUCGAAAUUGAAAGGCGGCUUCGGCUGUCACUUAUGGAUGGACCCGCGUCGCAUUAGCUAGUUGGUGAGGUAACGGCUCACCAAGGCAACGAUGCGUAGCCGACCUGAGAGGGUGAUCGGCCACACUGGGACUGAGACACGGCCCAGACUCCUACGGGAGGCAGCAGUAGGGAAUCUUCCGCAAUGGACGAAAGUCUGACGGAGCAACGCCGCGUGAGUGAUGAAGGCUUUCGGGUCGUAAAACUCUGUUGUUAGGGAAGAACAAGUGCUAGUUGAAUAAGCUGGCACCUUGACGGUACCUAACCAGAAAGCCACGGCUAACUACGUGCCAGCAGCCGCGGUC
rnacentral:rRNA from 1 species